CCUACGGGAGGCAGCAGUGAGGAAUAUUGGUCAAUGGGCGAGAGCCUGAACCAGCCAAGUAGCGUGCAGGAUGACGGCCCUAUGGGUUGUAAACUGCUUUUUAUAAGGGAAUAAAGUGAGUCUCGUGAGACUUUUUGCAUGUACCUUAUGAAUAAGGACCGGCUAAUUCCGUGC
rnacentral:rRNA from 1 species